GAACGAAAGAGUUUGAUCCUGGCUCAGAUUGAACGCUGGCGGCAUGCUUUACACAUGCAAGUCGAACGGUAACAGGGACUUCAGUCUGCUGACGAGUGGCGAACGGGUGAGUAAUGCAUCGGAACGUACCGAGUAAUGGGGGAUAACGCAUCGAAAGGUGUGCUAAUACCGCAUACGCCCUGAGGGGGAAAGCGGGGGAUCGAAAGACCUCGCGUUAUUCGAGCGGCCGAU
rnacentral:rRNA from 1 species